CACGUAGGGCGCAAGCGUUGUCCGGAAUUACUGGGCGUAAAGGGCUCGUAGGCGGCCAACUAAGUCAGACGUGAAAUCCCCAGGCUCAACCUGGGAACUGCGUCUGAUACUGGAUGGCUUGAAUUCGGGAGAGGGAUGCAGAAUUCCAGGUGUAGCGGUGAAAUGCGUAGAUAUCUGGAGGAAUACCGGUGGCGAAGGCGGCAUCCUGGACCGACAUUGACGCUGAUGAGCGAAAGCUAGGGGAGCAAACGGG
rnacentral:rRNA from 1 species